rnacentral:sRNA from 1 species
UCGCCUCCCCUCCUGCCACUCAGAUCUCCCGACUCUGGCUCACAAAGUGGGUUCUUCUCUCAUCCCAUAUCUCCUUGGUUCCGUAGAACUCUGAGACGUCUCCUGGGAUGUUUAACUUUGACACUUUCUGGAAGAAUUUUAAAUCCAAGCUGGGUUUCAUUAACUGGGAUGCCAUAAACAAGAACCAGGUCCCGCCCCCCAGCACCCGAGCCCUCCUCUACUUCAGCCGACUCUGGGAGGAUUUCAAACAGAACACUCCUUUCCUCAACUGGAAAGCAAUUAUUGAGGGUGCAGACGCAUCAUCACUGCAGAAACGUGCAGGCAGAGCCGAUCAGGUGAGUCUCUGUCCUCAGGUUCCCCUGCAGGGCCCUUGGUCCCCCUUGGCCUUGCUCCCGGGUCUGGGCAAUCUG